AAACAUGAUUUUAGAUGUAGAAUUUUGUAUUCACGAAAAAUCCUACUCUAUUUAAAUUUUAACACACAGUAAAACUUUUUUAAGUUCUGUUAUAUGUAUUAUGUAAUUUCAGUUGCAAUUUUUGUUUUAAAAUUAGAGUUUUUGAUAGCAUAAUGCAUGAAUGAUUUAUUCUUUGAAACUGAUUAUUAAAAAUUAUUAAUUUUAACAAUUAAGGAAUAUUUUUAGAAUUUCUUCAUGUAAAAUGUAUUCUAUUUUUAAAAGCCCCAUAGUAUUUAUAAAAAGUUUUUGCAUUACUUUCAGUUCAUUAUAAUAAUUAUUAUAUAAUUGGAUUCAUGGAGAUAAUGUGAAUGUUACACAAAGAAACAACUUUAAAAAAAAACAUUUUUCAUAAAAUAAAUUUGAAGAUAUAAUUAUUAUUAUUUUAGAAAAAGAUAUAAUAAAGGUUAAUAUUGAAAAAGAAAACUAAAAACAAAUGUGAUAAUAACAACUAAUUAUUAAAUUUUGAUUAUUAAAUUAUCUAUAUAACGAAUUUAGUGAGAAUUUAUAUAUAAAUAUAUAAAAACCUCCAAAAAUCAGACGUCCGUAAUUUCACAGCUAGUUCGUAAAAUUGGAUUUUAGGAAAGUUCUAUUUAUUUAUUUAUUUAAAAUCAGAAGAUGCCAUACCCCCAUUAUAUUUAUACAAAACCGCGUAUUUGUAGAAAAGAAAGGAGUUCACGAAGUUUGACACUUCCCCGUGAAUAAAUUCAAUAGACAAGUGUGAUUUUGUGUGAUUCAAUCUACUAUAUAUACAGUUGUGGUCUACGGUAAUUCAGAGAAGAACAAACUGACAAUGAAGAAAACAACACAAACUUCCUUUUUUCUCCUACGUUUGCUGCUUCUUAUAUGCCUAGUCUUUCAGGUUUGUGUCACAGAGGCUAGAUUCCGCCACCUAGGCGAAGAACGGACUUUCGAUACACCCUCCCGUUCACCUAAAGCCAAAGGCGGACGGAGAAUGAGCUACGGUGGCACGUAGAGAUGCUCCUAGGGGAAGUGAAGUUACGGGAAUAUUGAACUGGCAUUGUCAAACAGGUCGAGGACCUCCUUGUGUUAAUUUAACAUACAGUCAGGAGUCCAACACGAAUAAAAAAAACUCUACUGUUCAGUUUAGUUAUCAUAUCAUUCCAAAUAAUUGUUUUGAGACUUUUUCUGUUCUUUUAUAAAAUUCAUGUGUACAUGGUAAAAAUAAAGUUUACAGUAGUAA